rnacentral:lncRNA from 1 species
CGGCUCGCGCAAAGAGCGCCAAAUGAAGUACUGUGAGGCGACACAUAACUGCUUAAUGACAGAAUGAAGAAACACGCUAUACGAUUAAAAAGAGCGUCAUUCUGCUUUAGCCUCAGCCUGACGUAAUCCUGAUGACCCUGAAAUUCUGAGUAGUCCAGCACCUUCAUUCUUGUGCAGUUUUUGAAGUCCUUCACUGCAGACAAGAACUGACAGUAUCCCUCCUUCUUACACGCCCUUUCCGCUGACCUUUCCUGUCUACUUUUCUCGGGUCCAGGAGGGAGUGAUGAAGCCUCUCAGUGCUCAGGCCAGUAUGACUAAGAAAGAAUAAGAUUACCUGUGACAUGGGCAGGGGAACUGAGGC